rnacentral:rRNA from 1 species
AUACGGAGGGUGCUAGCGUUGUUCGGAAUUACUGGGCGUAAAGCGCGUGUAGGCGGCCUCUUCAGUCUGGUGUGAAAGCCCGGGGCUCACCCCCGGAAGGGCACUGGAUACUGGGAGGCUGGAGUACCGGAGAGGAGGGUGGAAUUCCUGGUGUAGCGGUGAAAUGCGUAGAUAUCAGGAGGAACACCGGUGGCGAAGGCGGCCCUCUGGACGGAUACUGACGCUGAGACGCGACAGCGUGGGGAGCAAACAGGAUUAGAAACCCCGGUAGUCC